UGGGGUGUAGCUCAGUGGUAGAGUGUUUGCCUGCCUAGCAGGUACAAGACCCUGGGUUCAAUCUCUAGCACUGCAA
rnacentral:tRNA from 1 species